AAGUCGUAACAAGGUUUCCGUAGGUGAACCUGCGGAAGGAUCAUUAACACGUAUCCAACGUUAAAAACACCCCUGUGCAGAUUUUGAGUCAGGGACUUCUGACGUGACGCGAAGAAUGGUAUUGAUACUCCAUCUGCGUGGGAUGACAUGCGACGUAGCAAAUCACUUGGCUCCCCAAGCAACCAUGUUUCUAAAAGCGGCUCAUGGAAGCGUAAGGAGACGCUGUAACGUUUUGCUGUAGGCCAACACGGCCGGCAAUCCAAGUGGUUGUACUUCGGUACCCUCACAUCGGCACACCACCGAUGAUAUGUCAAUUUCGCGAAUGGACUAAAAGCCUCGCACCAAAAACCGAACAACUGUUAACAAUGGAUAUCUUGGUUCUC
rnacentral:misc_RNA from 1 species